rnacentral:rRNA from 1 species
GACAGAGGGUGCAAACGUUGUUCGGAAUUACUGGGCGUAAAGCGCGUGUAGGCUGCUCGGAAAGUCGGAUGUGAAAGCCCUGGGCUCAACCUAGGAAGUGCAUUCGAAACUACCGAGCUGGAGUUCUGGAGAGGAAGGCGGAAUUCUCGGUGUAGAGGUGAAAUUCGUAGAUAUCGAGAGGAACACCGGUGGCGAAGGCGGCCUUCUGGACAGUGACUGACGCUGAGACGCGAAAGCGUGGGGAGCAAACAGGG